GUUAUUUUAGAGUCUACUGUAUAAAUAAGAAAUUUCAUACAUAUUAAAGAAGUAACAUUCUGUGUUUGAAAUAAAUUGUCUUUAAAUGUGGAAACUAUUUGUAUUACUUAUUUUUUAAAAUAGGGUGAGAGAAAAGAAAGGGUGAAAAGAGAUUUAUUGAAGAGAAUCCAGCGCCAUCCGUUUGAUUUUGAUUCACUUGAAGUUAAAAUUGCCUUAAAGAAUAUUAAAAUCAGAUCUCUUUAUGAAUAUCAUGCAGAAUUUUAUAGAAAGGAAACUCGAAUCAGUAGAAAACUACUGCCUAUUUUGAUCCAAAGGCGAACUGGGCAAUUGAACAGACUGCGUAAAAUUAACGAAGCAAGAUUCAAUUGGCUUCUGAAGGAAUUGGAUCUCUCUUUCACGCCUCCGAAGUUGGGUUUGAAAGUAGAUAGGUACUUAAAAAGUGGGAUUUGCGUAGGCUAACUAAAGAAUACUGUGAGAAGACUAUAGCAAGUAAAAAGGAAGCAUACCACGAAGAGUUAAAGAAAGAACAAGAAGCAUUUCUUGAAGAGAAGAGACAAAUUUUAGCCUGGAUUGAAGCCGAAGAAAAAGCCUUGAAAUCGGACAAUGUAUAGUGAUUGCAUAAGUACAGCAUUUCAUUAUUUAGUACAUUAAUAAACAAUUUAUGACGUU